rnacentral:rRNA from 1 species
AUUGAACGCUGGCGGCAUGCCUUACACAUGCAAGUCGAACGGCAGCACGGGAGCAAUCCUGGUGGCGAGUGGCGAACGGGUGAGUAAAGUAUUGGAACGUGCCCAGUCGUGGGGGAUAACGUAGCGAAAGUUACGCUAAUACCGCAUACGAUCUAUGGAUGAAAGCGGGGGAUCGCAAGACCUCGCGCGAUUGGAGCGGCCGAUAUCAGAUUAGGUAGUUGGUGGGGUAAAGGCUCACCAAGCCGACGAUCUGUAGCUGGUCUGAGAGGACGACCAGCCACGCUGGGACUGAGACACGGCCCAGACUCCUACGGGAGGCAGCAGUGGGGAAUUUUGGACAAUGGGCGAAAGCCUGAUCCAGCCAUGCCGCGUGCAGGAUGAAGGCCUUCGGGUUGUAAACUGCUUUUGUACGGAACGAAAAGGUUUGGCCUAAUAAGCUGAGCUCAUGACGGUACCGUAAGAAUAAGCACCGGCUAACUACGUGCCAGCAGCCGCCGUAA